rnacentral:misc_RNA from 1 species
AGGUAGUUCUGGGUCCUAUCUAGG